UCCGGAGGGUGCAAGCGUUAUCCGGAUUCACUGGGUUUAACGGGUUCGUAGGUGGGCAAGUAAGUCAGUGGUGAAAUCUCCGGGCUUAACCCGGAAACUGCCAUUGAUACUAUUUGUCUUGAAUACUGUGGAGGUCAGCGGAAUAUGUCAUGUAGCGGUGAAAUGCUUAGAUAUGACAUAGAACACCAAUUGCGAAGGCAGCGGGCUACACAAAUAUUGACACUGAGGCACGAAAGCGUGGGGAUCAAACAGG
rnacentral:rRNA from 1 species